rnacentral:rRNA from 1 species
GAUGAACGCUGGCGGCGUGCCUAAUACAUGCAAGUCGAGCGAACGGACGAGAAGCUUGCUUCUCUGAUGUUAGAGGCGGACGGGUGAGUAACACGUGGAUAACCUACCUAUAAGACUGGGAUAACUUAGGGAAACCGUAGCUAAUACCGGCUAAUAUUUUGAACCGCACGGAUCAAAAGUGACAGACGGUCUUGCUGUCACUUAUAGAUGGAUCCGCGCUGCAUUAGCUAGUUGGUAAGGUAACGGCUUACCAAGGCAACGAUGCAUAGCCGACCUGAGAGGGUGAUCGGCCACACUGGAACUGAGACACGGUCCAGACUCCUACGGGAGGCAGCAGUAGGGAAUCUUCCGCAAUGGGCGAAAGCCUGACGGGGCAACGCCGCGUGAGUGAUGAAGGUCUUCGGAUCGUAAAACUCUGUUAGUAGGGAAGAACAUAUGUGUAAGUAACUGUGCACAUCUUGACGUUACCUAAUCAGAAAGCCACGGCUAACUACGUG